AGAGUUUGAUUAUGGCUCAGGAUGAACGCUGGCGGCGUGCCUAACACAUGCAAGUCGAACGGGGUUAAGGGAAGUUUCGGAUGGAACUUACUAGUGGCGGACGGGUGAGUAACGCGUGGAUAACCUGCCUCGCACUGGGGGAUAGCAGCUGGAAACGGCUGGUAAUACCGCAUAAGACCACAAUGCCGCAUGGCACUGGGGUAAAAGAUUUAUCGGUGCGAGAUGGAUCCGCGUCUGAUUAGCCAGUUGGCGGGUAACGGCCCACCAAAGCGACGAUCAGUAGCCGGCCUGAGAGGGUGAACGGCCACAUUGGGACUGAGACACGGCCCAAACUCCUACGGGAGGCAGCAGUGGGGAAUAUUGCACAAUGGGCGCAAGCCUGAUGCAGCAACGCCCGCGUGAGUGAAGAAGUAUUUCGGUAUGUAAAGCUCUAUCGGCAGGGAAGAAAGGCCCGAAAGGGAGAUGACGGUACCUGACUAAGAAGCCCCGGCUAACUACGUGCCAGCCGCUGC
rnacentral:rRNA from 1 species